CGGCGGACGGGUGAGUAACACGUGGAUAACCUACCUACGAGACUGGGAUAACUUCGGGAAACCGGAGCUAAUACCGGAUAAUAUAUUGAACCGCAUGGUUCAAUAGUGAAAGACGGUUUUGCUGUCACUUAUAGAUGGAUCCGCGCCGCAUUAGCUAGUUGGUAAGGUAACGGCUUACCAAGGCAACGAUGCGUAGCCGACCUGAGAGGGUGAUCGGCCACACUGGAACUGAGACACGGUCCAGACUCCUACGGGAGGCAGCAGCC
rnacentral:rRNA from 1 species